ensembl:lncRNA
GGUAGAAAUCAAGAACCAGAUCGUUCAGUUUGGAAGAGCCUAUAGUCAGUGGCCGUCCUGCCUGGAGCAGCUCUGAAAUACUGGAGUGUUUCUGCAGUGAAGGGGAUCCAUGUGGGAAGCUGCCCCUGCGGGUGCUGCAGUAGCACUUAGAAAAAUGCAGUGUGGCAGUGCCUGGUGGUUUGGUGGUUUUCUGCUGGAUAAGAGGUUUUGGGUGAGUAUCCAGGUCAGCAGACUGCAUGGAGGUAAUCAAAAGUGACACUGCUGCUGAGCAGGGCCUGGCUCUGCCAGCUUUCCCGGCUCGUCGCUAAGGCUGCGGGAUGAAGCAGCCAGGAAAACAGGGCUACUGCUUAGUUUUCUUUGGAGAUUGAUCUUUUAUUCCUAUCAUUCCUAUGUGAGGUGCUUCAGGGUGAUUUUUUUUUUUUGUGUGUGUGACAACCCAGAAGAAUUUUAUGAGAUUUUCUUAAGCAGUGUGCGUGGGGCUCAGUUUGACUGUAGAUGUGUUGCAGGAUAGGUGUGGGAAAGCUGCCUGGACUCUUCUCCUUUGUUACAUUAUGUGUAUGCCUACAGCUCUGUAUAGAUGCAUUGUUGUUGUAAUCAUAAUAAGCACUAGAGCCGUGAGAAACAGUAUAACCGAACACAAACCAGGUGAAACUCCCCUGGUUUUAGGUUUCAUUACAUACUGGAGGCUCAGGCCAGGUUUGUUGAGGUUCAUGAACCUCUCUCUGAAGCUGGGCUCAGUUUCAAGCAGUCCUGGGCAAAGUUUCAGGUAAAUCUGGUCCAAGUUUUGAGUAAAUUUGGAACAAAUUUUAGGUGAAUAAGAGAUGAUUUAUGAUUUUAGGUAGAAACCAUACAUACUCUGAAGUCUUAGCUUGGUUUCACUCUGUAACCAGGAAAUCUUGGCAUUUUGGCUAAGUUUCACUUUGAUCUUGAGUUUUGACCCUAAACCCAAAACAGCUGGGACAGAGAGGUGAGUCCCAUGAAUAAACAGCGUAGAAAUGGGUUCACUGGGUGGAAGCCCAAAGCCCUGCACCACACUGAGCACACAUCUGUGAUGCUCUGCCAGCAGCAGAGGUGUUCCCACGCCGAAGGUAACACCGCAUGUCCCACCAGUGCUGCUUCCGUAAGUCAUCCAAACAAUUGAGCCUUCCUCAAAACUCUGAAUAUGAAGUUGCAUGUGCCGUUUCUAAGCCUGGUGUACGCUGACUUAAGAUGUGAUUUAUGCAACCACAAUCCAGUCCAUGCUGCAUGUUUGCAUUUUGAAGGAUAAAUUCAGAUAAGAAAUCUAUGCAGGGGAAUAAGGCCUAGGGUCCUCAUCCCUGCAUUGCAUUAAAACAUGGCUCACAUCCAAGCUCUCAGUGGGAAAACAGACUUUCUACCUGUUGCUUCAACGAACCCCUCCAAUUCAGAGCACUGCAGCAUCAGUUCUCAGCCCAGAGGUGUCCAAUGGGGCUACAGGUGUCGUCUUGCCAGUCCUGCCAGGUCUGCCACUGCACGGAUACCUGGAAGACAGAAAAGAGCUCAGAAGACUUCUUCAUGCAGAUUUCUUUAGAUUCCUUCAGGAGUUUUAAAGGGAUCUCCAGACAGAAACUUGUCCUUUUAAAUAAAAAAG